GGAGAGGUUCCCGAGUGGUCAAAGGGGGCAGACUGUAAAUCUGUUAGCUAAGCUUUCGAAGGUCCGAAUCCUUCUCUCUCCA
rnacentral:tRNA from 1 species